rnacentral:misc_RNA from 1 species
UUUCCGUAGGUGAACCUGCGGAAGGAUCAUUAUCAUGUAAUUCAGUCCCCUUGGCUGUGUUAUAUAUGUACCCACUCUGUGUACCUUCUCCUGUUGCUUCCGCUGGGUGUGUAAUUCGCCCGGCGGAAGGGUAAAAAUAACCUCUGAGUAUUGAUGAAAUCUCUGUCUGAACCGAAUAGAAAGAAAAAUGUUAAAACUUUCAGCAACGGAUCUCUUGGUUCUC